rnacentral:ncRNA from 1 species
AUUACUAGUUACUAAGUCUACACAUAAAGUGGUCUCAGGAAUGAGGAAGCAAGCUCAACACCUAGUUACCCAUCACAUCCUGACCUGCAUGCUGGUAAAGAGAUGAGGGAGGAUUUAACUCUACAGACGAUAUAAUAAAAAAGACUCUUGUGUAAAAGGAAUAGGACCAUGAUUCUACUUUGUUGGUUUUCAGAACUAAGGCCAUGAUUAAGAGGGACGGCCAGGGGCAUUCAUAUUGCGCUGCUAGAGAGAAAUUCUUAGACUGGCGUAAGAUGGAUCAGAGCAAAAGCAUUUGACAAGAAUGUUUCCAUUAAUCAAGAAAGAAAGUCGGAGGUUUGAAGAUGAUCAGAUACCGUCAAAGUUCCGACCAACGAUGCUGACUGGCGAUUCAGCAGAGUUAUUCCCAUGACCUGCUGGGCAGCUUCCGGGAAACCAAAGUCUUUGGGU